rnacentral:misc_RNA from 1 species
GAUGAAGAACGUAGCGAAAUGCGAUAAGUAAUGUGAAUUGCAGAAUUCAGUGAAUCAUCGAAUCUUUGAACGCACAUUGCGCCCGCCAGUAUUCUGGCGGGCAUGCCUGUUCGAGCGUCAUUUCAACCAUCAAGCCCCAGGCUUGUGUUGGGGACCUGCGGCUGCCGCAGGCCCUGAAAACCAGUGGCGGGCUCGCUGUCACACCGGGCGUAGUAGAUUUUAUCUCGCUCAGGGCGUGCUGCGGGUUCCGGCCGUUAAAAGCCUUUUUUACCCAAGGUUGACCUCGGAUCAGGUAGGAAUACCCGCUGAACUUAAGCAUAUCAAUAAGCGGAGGA